CGGGAUGGCCGCUCCCGGCUCCUUCCCGCUGCUGGUCGAGGGCUCCUGGGGCCCCGAACCCCGCGGAACCUGAGCACCUGGGAAAUUUUCAUGCAAACUAUUGCAGAGGGAGAGUUCGGAAGAGAGUUCUGGAGAGAGAAAACCAUGAGUUGCAAUGGUCAGGAAAUGGACCAUUUAAGUUAACCCUCAGCUUGCCCCCAACCACAAAUGAAGCCAAUGAUUUUGGUGAUAGGACACUUCCAACACAGGAACCCAAGUCUGAAGACCUUGUCAAACAACCAGACGUGUCGGAAGAAACGGAUACAAUCCACUAUGUCAAUAAAAGAUCAGAAAACAUUGAAGAUACCACAAAAGAACCUGUUUCACCUUUGGUUGCAUUUGAAAAUCUCAGUACCACGGUUGAUGAUAUGAUG